rnacentral:rRNA from 1 species
CGAAGGGAUGUAUUUAUUAGAUACAAAACCAAUUCGUGGCAACACGAUAUUGGUGAGUCAUAAUAACUUUUCGAAUCGCAUGGCCUUGAGCCGGCGAUGCAUCAUUCAAAUAUCUGCCCUAUCAACUUUGGAUGGUAGGAUAGAGGCCUACCAUGGUUUUAACGGGUAACGGGGAAUAAGGGUUCGAUUCCGGAGAGGGAGCCUGAGAUUCGGCUACCACAUCCAAGGAAGGCAGCAGGCGCGCAACUUACCCAAUCAUACACGGGGAGGUAGUGACAAUAUUUAACAAUACAGGGCUCUUUUGGGUCUUGUAAUUGGAAUGAGUACAAUUUAAAUACCUUAACGAGGAACAAUUGCCGGGCAAGUCUGGUGCCAGCAGCCGCGGUAAUCCCAGCUCCAAUAGCGUAUAUUAAAGUUGUUCGUAUUAAAAAGCCCGUAGUUGAAUUUGAGGAGUAAAGUUUAGGUCCAUUGAAAGAUGAGUACUUUAACUUUAUUCCUUCCCUUGUAGUGAACUAUAUUGAAGAAAUUUGGUAUAGGGAACUAUGAAUUUUAC